rnacentral:rRNA from 1 species
GAUGAACGCUAGCGACAGGCUUAACACAUGCAAGUCGAGGGGCAGCAUAAAAGUAGCAAUACUUUGGUGGCGACCGGCGCACGGGUGAGUAACGCGUAUGCAACCUACCUAUCAGAGGGGAAUAACCCGGCGAAAGUCGGACUAAUACCGCAUAAAACAGGGGCACCGCAUGGUGAUAUUUGUUAAAGAAAUUCGCUGAUAGAUGGGCAUGCGUUCCAUUAGGUAGUUGGUGAGGUAACGGCUCACCAAGCCGACGAUGGAUAGGGGAACUGAAAGGUUGGUCCCCCACACGGGUACUGGGACACGGACCAGACUCCUGCGGGAGGCAGCAGUGAGGAAUAUUGGUCAAUGGGCGAGAGCCUGAACCAGCCAAGUCGCGUGAAGGAAGAAGGAUCUAUGGUUCGUAAACUUCUUUUGCAGGGGAAUAAAGUGCGGGACGUGUCCUGUUUUGUAUGUACCCUGAGAAUAAGGAUCGGCUAACUCCGUGCCAGCAGCCGCCGUAA